UGCCAGCAGCCGCGGUAAUACGGAGGGAUCGAACGUUAAUCGGAAUUACUGGGCGUAAAGCGCGCGUAGGUGGUUCAUUAAGUGGGAUGUGAAAGCCCUGGGCUUAACCUGGGAACUGCAUUCCAAACUGGCGAACUAGAGUACGAUAGAGGGGGGUAGAAUUCACAGUGUAGCGGUGAAAUGCGUAGAUAUUGUGAGGAAUACCAGUGGCGAAGGCGGCCCCCUGGAUUGAUACUGACACUCAGUGUGCGAACGCGUGGGGAGCGAACAGGAUUAGAUA
rnacentral:rRNA from 1 species